AGCCUUCUGUAUCCGCGCUGAGGUUUCGUCACACACUAAACGACAAGGGUUGAUGAGACUUCCAAGAUAAGUGAAGCG
rnacentral:pre_miRNA from 1 species